rnacentral:rRNA from 1 species
UACGGGGGGGGCGAGCGUUGUUCGGAAUCACUGGGCGUAAAGGGCGCGUAGGCGGCCCGCACAAGUCUGCGGUGAAAACCCCCGGCUUAACCGGGGGCCGGCCGUGGAAACUGUCGGGCUGGAGGCUGGGAGAGGGCAGCGGAAUUCCCGGUGUAGCGGUGAAAUGCGUAGAUAUCUGGAGGAACACCGGUGGCGAAGGCGGCGUUCUGGACUGCUACUGACACUGAGGAACGAAAGCCAGGGGAGCAAACGGG